rnacentral:rRNA from 1 species
CUACGGGUUGCUCCAGCUAAGAAUCUUCCGCAAUGGGCGCAAGCCUGACGGAGCGAUGCCGCGUGAACGAAGAAUGUCGAGAGAUUGUAAAGUUCUUUUAUAGGUGAGGAAUAACAGCUAGAGGUAAUGCUAGUUGGAUGACGUUAGCCUAUGAAUAAGCUCCGGCCAAUUACGUGCCAGCAGCCGCGGUAACACGUAAGGAGCGAGCGUUGUUCGGAAUUAUUGGGCGUAAAGGGUGCGUAGGCUGUUACUUAAGUCUCUUUUGAAGGACCGGUGCUUAACACCGGGACCGGAGGGGAAACUGGGUGACUUGAAUUCGAUAGGGGGAUGCGGAAUUUCUAGUGUAGGGGUGAAAUCUGUUGAUAUUAGAAAGAACACCAAUGGCGAAGGCAGCAUCUUGGGUCUGAAUUGACGCUGAGGCACGAAAGCAUAGGUAGCAAACAGGAUUAGAUACCCCCGUAGUC